UUGAAAGUUAUCCAUUCCGAGGUCCUCUCCUUGCUGGCCAAGAAUGUUGAACUGAAGGCCAAAAGUACUCAAUAUCUUCGCGUCGUAUCUGAAAAAGAGUCUUUGCGUCAGGAGAUCAACAAAGCUGAGGACGAGUUGAAAGAAAUCUCUUCCGAAGUCAUGAUUGAAGACUCUUUGAUGGCUAGUUUGGCUGCUCAGAUGAAGGAACUUCAAGCCAAAAUGGACGACUGCAAGGCGAGAAUGGCUGC
rnacentral:lncRNA from 1 species